AGUGAACGCUGGCGGUAGGCCUAACACAUGCAAGUCGAACGGCAGCACAGUAAGAGCUUGCUCUUACGGGUGGCGAGUGGCGGACGGGUGAGGAAUACAUCGGAAUCUACUUUUUCGUGGGGGUUAAGGUGGGGAAAUUUCCGCUAAUACCGAAUACAACCUACGGGUGAAAGCAGGGGAUCUUCGAACCUGGCGCAAUUGGAGAAGCCGAUGUCGGAUUAGCUAGUUGGCGGGGUAAAGGCCCACCAAGGCGACGAUCCGUAGCUGGUCUGAGAGGAUGAUCAGCCACACUGGAACUGAGACACGGUCCAGACUCCUACGGGAGGCAGCAGUGGGGAAUAUUGGACAAUGGGCGCAAGCCUGAUCCAGCCAUACCGCGUGGGUGAAGAAGGCCUUCGGGUUGUAAAGCCCUUUUGUUGGGAAAGAAAAGCAGCAGGUUAAUACCCCGCUGUUCUGACGGUACCCAAAGAAUAAGCACCGGCUAACUUCGUG
rnacentral:rRNA from 1 species